CAGCAGCCGCGGUAAAACGGAGGGUGCAAGCGUUAAUCGGAAUUACUGGGCGUAAAGCGCACGCAGGCGGUCUGUCAAGUCAGAUGUGAAAUCCCCGGGCUUAACCUGGGAACUGCAUUUGAAACUGGCAGGCUAGAGUACGGCAGAGGGGGAUGGAAUUCCGCGUGUAGCAGUGAAAUGCGUAGAUAUGCGGAGGAACACCGAUGGCGAAGGCAAUCCCCUGGGCCUGUACUGACGCUCAUGCACGAAAGCGUGGGGAGCAAACAGGAUUAGAUACCCCUGUAGUCCCUGUCUCUUAUAC
rnacentral:rRNA from 1 species